GAGGCUUUAGCUUAAUUAAAGCGUCUGAGUUGCAAUUAGAUGAUGUAGGUUGUGGCCUGCAGGUCUUC
rnacentral:tRNA from 1 species